GGAGAAAUAGCUCAGCGGCAGAGCGCAUGCUCAGCAUGCACAAGGUCCUGGGUUCAAUCCCCAGUGCCUCCA
rnacentral:tRNA from 1 species